rnacentral:misc_RNA from 1 species
GAAAGAAAUGAUACAGAUUUGAAAUGAGAAAGUAUCAAAUCAAACUAUUCAGCAUUGACCAAACAACAAGCUAUGCCCAAACAACCAUAUCAGGUUCACCAAAACCAACCACAGAAGCCACAAACAAUUUACAGGGAUAGGAUGUAUACUUUUAUUGACUAAAGUACAUAAAAUAGGAUAUUAACUUAGUCACACAAAAGUUCUCGUUUCAAAAGAAUUCAGGCUCCAUUUGGAAAGAGAGAUUAAAGGAUUUAUAAGUUUUUACUUCAAAUUGUAAAAUUUAAUAUCAAUAUUUGUAAAUAAG